rnacentral:rRNA from 1 species
GACGAACGCUGGCGGCGUGCCUAAUACAUGCAAGUAGGACGCAGUUGCGAACGGGUGAGUAAUGCGUAGGUAACUACCUAUUAGAGGGGGAUAACUAUUGGAAACGAUAGCUAAUACCGCAUACUAGUAGAUGGACCUGCGUUGUAUUGGCUAGUAGGUAGGGUAAUGGCCUACCUAGGCAACGAUACAUAGCUGACCUGAGGGGGUGAUCGGGCACACCGGGACUGAGGAAGUGCCCAGACCCCUCCGGGCGGCAGCAGUAGGGAAUCUUCGGCAAUGGGGGGAACCCUGACCGCACAACGCCGCGGGAGGGAAGAAGGGUUUCGGAUCGUAAAGCUCUGUUGUUAAGGAAGCGGUACUUAACCAGAAAGGGACGGCUAACUACGUGCCAGCAGCCGCGGUAAUAC